AUUUUUUUGCGGGAAUAAUUUUUUUAUAUUCAAUUACAGUUCCACAAAUAUGUAUGUAAAAUUUCAGAUCAAUCGGACAACGUUUACCCACCCAAAUGAAUUUUUUUUGAACAAUUUUUCUGGGUAAAACUGCUGUUUGUGCUUUAAAAAAUAGAGAUCAGUUUAGAAAUCAACCAAGAACACCCAAAACGCCCAAAAUCUGAUACCAAAUGAUACGGGGUGGCGCGCGGACCAAGAU
rnacentral:lncRNA from 1 species